GGCGGGGUAGAGCAGCGGCAGCUCACCUGGCUCAUACCCAGGAGGUCGCAGGUUCGAUUCCUGCUCCCGCAAUUUCCCA
rnacentral:tRNA from 1 species